UACGGAGGAUCCGAGCGUUAUCCGGAUUUAUUGGGUUUAAAGGGUGCGCAGGCGGGGGAUUAAGUCGGCGGUGAAAUUUUGCAGCUCAACUGUAAAAGUGCCUUCGAAACUGGUUUCCUUGAGUGUAGAUGAAGUAGGCGGAAUUUGUGGUGUAGCGGUGAAAUGCUUAGAUAUCACGAGGAACUCCGAUUGCGCAGGCAGCUUACUAAACUACUACUGACGCUCAGGCACGAAGGCGUGGGGAUCAAACAGGAUUAGAUACCCCUGUAGUCCCUGA
rnacentral:rRNA from 1 species